rnacentral:rRNA from 2 species
GGGGAAUUUUCCGCAAUGGGCGAAAGCCUGACGGAGCAAUACCGCGUGAGGGAGGAAGGCUCUUGGGUCGUAAACCUCUUUUCUCAGGGAAGAACACAAUGACGGUACCUGAGGAAUAAGCAUCGGCUAACUCCGUGCCAGCAGCCGCGGUAAUACGGAGGAUGCAAGCGUUAUCCGGAAUGAUUGGGCGUAAAGCGUCCGCAGGUGGCUGUGUAAGUCUGCUGUUAAAGAGUCUAGCUCAACUAGAUACAAGCAGUGGAAACUACACGGCUAGAGUACGUUCGGGGCAGAGGGAAUUCCUGGUGUAGCGGUGAAAUGCGUAGAGAUCAGGAAGAACACCAGUGGCGAAGGCGCUCUGCUAGGCCGUAACUGACACUGAGGGACGAAAGCUAGGGGAGCGAAUGGGAUUAGAUACCCCAGUAGUCCUAGCCGUAAACGAUGGAUACUAGGCGUGGCUUGUAUCGACCCGAGCCGUGCCGUAGCUAACGCGUUAAGUAUCCCGCCUGGGGAGUACGCCGGCAACGGUGAAACUCAAAGGAAUUGACGGGGGCCCGCACAAGCGGUGGAGUAUGUGGUUUAAUUCGAUGCAACGCGAAGAACCUUACCAAGGCUUGACAUGUCGCGAAUCUUGAUGAAAGUUGAGAGUGCCUUCGGGAGCGCGAACACAGGUGGUGCAUGGCUGUCGUCAGCUCGUGUCGUGAGAUGUUGGGUUAAGUCCCGCAACGAGCGCAACCCUCGUUUUUAGUUGCCAGCAUUAAGUUGGGCACUCUAGAGAGACUGCCGGUGACAAACCGGAGGAAGGUGGGGAUGACGUCAAGUCAGCAUGCCCCUUACGCCUUGGGCUACACACGUACUACAAUGCUCCGGACAGAGGGCAGCAAGCCAGCGAUGGCAAGCAAAUCCCGUAAACCGGAGCUCAGUUCAGAUCGCAGGCUGCAACUCGCCUGCGUGAAGGAGGAAUCGCUAGUAAUUGCAGGUCAGCAUACUGCAGUGAAUUCGUUCCCGGGCCUUGUACACACCGCCCGUCACACCAUGGAAGCUGGUAGUGCCCGAAGUCAUUACUCCAACCUUUCGGGGGGGAGGAUGCCUAAGGCAGGACUGGUGACUGGGGUGAAGUCGUAACAAGGUAGCCGUACCGGAAGGUGUGGCUGGAUCACCUCCUU